rnacentral:rRNA from 1 species
CACACUAUCGUUAACUGAAUACAUAGGUUAACGAGGCGAACCGGGGGAACUGAAACAUCUAAGUACCCCGAGGAAAAGAAAUCAACCGAGAUUCCCCCAGUAGCGGCGAGCGAACGGGGAGCAGCCCAGAGUCUGAAUCAGCUUGUGUGUUAGUGGAAGCGUCUGGAAAGUCGCACGGUACAGGGUGACAGUCCCGUACACGAAAGCACACAGGUUGUGAACUCGAAGAGUAGGGCGGGACACGUGGUAUCCUGUCUGAAUAUGGGGGGACCAUCCUCCAAGGCUAAAUACUCCUGACUGACCGAUAGUGAACCAGUACCGUGAGGGAAAGGCGAAAAGAACCCCGGCGAGGGGAGUGAAAAAGAACCUGAAACCGUGUACGUACAAGCAGUGGGAGCACCUUCGUGGUGUGACUGCGUACCUUUUGUAUAAUGGGUCAGCGACUUAUAUUCUGUAGCAAGGUUAACCGUAUAGGGGAGCCGAAGGGAAACCGAGUCUUAACUGGGCGUUAAGUUGCAGGGUAUAGACCCGAAACCCGGUGAUCUAGCCAUGGGCAGGUUGAAGGUUGGGUAACACUAACUGGAGGACCGAACCGACUAAUGUUGAAAAAUUAGCGGAUGACUUGUGGCUGGGGGUGAAAGGCCAAUCAAACCGGGAGAUAGCUGGUUCUCCCCGAAAGCUAUUUAGGUAGCGCCUCGUGAACUCAUCUUCGGGGGUAGAGCACUGUUUCGGCUAGGGGGCCAUCCCGGCUUACCAACCCGAUGCAAACUACGAAUACCGAAGAAUGUUAUCACGGGAGACACACGGCGGGUGCUAACGUCCGUCGUGAAGAGGGAAACAACCCAGACCGCCAGCUAAGGUCCCAAAGUCAUGGUUAAGUGGGAAACGAUGUGGGAAGGCACAGACAGCCAGGAUGUUGGCUUAGAAGCAGCCAUCAUUUAAAGAAAGCGUAAUAGCUCACUGGUCGAGUCGGCCUGCGCGGAAGAUGUAACGGGGCUAAACCAUGCACCGAAGCUGCGGCAGCGACGCUUAUGCGUUGUUGGGUAGGGGAGCGUUCUGUAAGCCGUUGAAGGUGGCCUGUGAGGGUUGCUGGAGGUAUCAGAAGUGCGAAUGCUGACAUAAGUAACGAUAAAGCGGGUGAAAAGCCCGCUCGCCGGAAGACCAAGGGUUCCUGUCCAACGUUAAUCGGGGCAGGGUGAGUCGACCCCUAAGGCGAGGCCGAAAGGCGUAGUCGAUGGGAAACAGGUUAAUAUUCCUGUACUUGGUGUUGCUGCGAAGGGGGGACGGAGAAGGCUAUGUUAGCCGGGCGACGGUUGUCCCGGUUUAAGCAUGUAGGCGGAGGUUCCAGGUAAAUCCGGUACCUUUUAACGCUGAGGUGUGAUGACGAGGCACUACGGUGCUGAAGUAACAAAUGCCCUGCUUCCAGGAAAAGCCUCUAAGCAUCAGGUAACAUGAAAUCGUACCCCAAACCGACACAGGUGGUCAGGUAGAGAAUACCAAGGCGCUUGAGAGAACUCGGGUGAAGGAACUAGGCAAAAUGGUGCCGUAACUUCGGGAGAAGGCACGCUGAUAUGUAGGUGAAGCCCCUGCGGGUGGAGCUGAAAUCAGUCGAAGAUACCAGCUGGCUGCAACUGUUUAUUAAAAACACAGCACUGUGCAAACACGAAAGUGGACGUAUACGGUGUGACGCCUGCCCGGUGCCGGAAGGUUAAUUGAUGGGGUUAGCGGCAACGCGAAGCUCUUGAUCGAAGCCCCGGUAAACGGCGGCCGUAACUAUAACGGUCCUAAGGUAGCGAAAUUCCUUGUCGGGUAAGUUCCGACCUGCACGAAUGGCGUAAUGAUGGCCAGGCUGUCUCCACCCGAGACUCAGUGAAAUUGAACUCGCUGUGAAGAUGCAGUGUACCCGCGGCAAGACGGAAAGACCCCGUGAACCUUUACUAUAGCUUGACACUGAACACUGGUCCUUGAUGUGUAGGAUAGGUGGGAGGCUUUGAAGCGUGGACGCCAGUCUGCGUGGAGCCGUCCUUGAAAUACCACCCUUUAAUGGCUGGUGUUCUAACGUAGACCCGUGAUCCGGGUUGCGGACAGUGUCUGGUGGGUAGUUUGACUGGGGCGGUCUCCUCCCAAAGAGUAACGGAGGAGCACGAAGGUUAGCUAAUCCUGGUCGGACAUCAGGAGGUUAGUGCAAUGGCAUAAGCUAGCUUGACUGCGAGAGUGACGGCUCGAGCAGGUGCGAAAGCAGGUCAUAGUGAUCCGGUGGUUCUGAAUGGAAGGGCCAUCGCUCAACGGAUAAAAGGUACUCCGGGGAUAACAGGCUGAUACCGCCCAAGAGUUCAUAUCGACGGCGGUGUUUGGCACCUCGAUGUCGGCUCAUCACAUCCUGGGGCUGAAGUAGGUCCCAAGGGUAUGGCUGUUCGCCAUUUAAAGUGGUACGCGAGCUGGGUUUAGAACGUCGUGAGACAGUUCGGUCCCUAUCUGCCGUGGGCGCUGGAGAAUUGAGGGGGGCUGCUCCUAGUACGAGAGGACCGGAGUGGACGCAUCACUGGUGUUCGGGUUGUCAUGCCAAUGGCACUGCCCGGUAGCUAAAUGCGGAAAAGAUAAGUGCUGAAAGCAUCUAAGCACGAAACUUGCCCCGAGAUGAGUUCUCCCUGACCCUUUAAGGGUCCUGAAGGAACGUUGAAGACGACGACGUUGAUAGGUCGGGUGUGUAAGCGCAGCGAUGCGUUGAGCUAACCGAUACUAAUGAACCGUGAGGCUUAACCUU